CCUACGGGUGGCUGCAGUGGGGAAUAUUGCACAAUGGGCGCAAGCCUAAUGCAGCCAUGCCGCGUGUGUGAAGAAGGCCUUCGGGUUGUAAAGCACUUUCAGCGGGGAGGAAGGCGUUAAGGUUAAUAACCUUGUCGAUUGACGUUACCCGCAGAAGAAGCACCGGCUAACUCCGUGCCAGCAGCCGCGGUAAUACGGAGGGUGCAAGCGUUAAUCGGAAUUACUGGGCGUAAAGCGCACGCAGGCGGUCUGUCAAGUCGGAUGUGAAAUCCCCGGGCUCAACCUGGGAACUGCAUUCGAAACUGGCAGGCUAGAGUCUUGUAGAGGGGGGUAGAAUUCCAGGUGUAGCGGUGAAAUGCGUAGAGAUCUGGAGGAAUACCGGUGGCGAAGGCGGCCCCCUGGACAAAGACUGACGCUGAGGAGCGAAAGCGUGGGGAGCGAACAGGAUUAGAUACCCUAGUAGUC
rnacentral:rRNA from 1 species